GACGAACGCUGGCGGCGUGCUUAACACAUGCAAGUCGAACGGAAAGGCCCUGCUUUUGUGGGGUGCUCGAGUGGCGAACGGGUGAGUAACACGUGAGUAACCUGCCCUUGACUUUGGGAUAACUUCAGGAAACUGGGGCUAAUACCGGAUAGGAGCUCCUGCUGCAUGGUGUGGGUUGGAAAGUUUCGGCGGUUGGGGAUGGACUCGCGGCUUAUCAGCUUGUUGGUGGGGUAGUGGCUUACCAAGGCUUUGACGGGUAGCCGGCCUGAGAGGGUGACGGGCCACAUUGGGACUGAGAUACGGCCCAGACUCCUACGGGAGGCAGCAGUGGGGAAUAUUGCACAAUGGGCGGAAGCCUGAUGCAGCAACGCCGCGUGCGGGAUGCCGGCCUUCGGGUUGUAAACCGCUUUCGCGUGUGACGAAGCGUGAGUGACGGUAAUGGGUAAAGAAGCACCGGCUAACUACGU
rnacentral:rRNA from 1 species